ACACCAUCCCCGGUAGGACUCACCUCGCUCCUGAGCAUCUCCAUGCUGUGGAGGAUACCCGCCCCCUUAGUAGCUGUCUUGGUGAUCAGAUUGACCGUCGAGGCACUGCAGUGCUUGUCCUCAGAACAAGAACCCAGAGCCCACCAAAGGACUGGCGUGAAAGGAGCUGUAGCACUGUAUCCGUCCCACCCUCCACUGGCACCGGAUGGCUGCCCCACAUGACAGGAAGUGUUGGUGUGACCAGACCAGCAGCCCAGGAGCCAUGGGCUAGAGUGGGGCAUUGGGACCGAAUGAGCGGUAACAUGAACAAGCUGAAACACAUUCCUGCCCAGCCUGCCAAGCUGUGGGCAGUGACACGCUCUUAUUUGCCAGACUACAAGAGAAGAUCUGUGACCCUUCUGGGGGCCCAUACCUUGGGGCUCCCCAAGCCAGAGCUGUGACAUGCUGUAACACCCUCUUGCAGCUCCACGGUUGCUGGUGUCUUUGAGUUUUCAGGCACCACGGCGUUCCCCUUGUUGGGAUGCCAGUGCCCAAGGUGGAAGCCACUUGAGGCAUACCUGGUCCAGCCACAGCCUCACAUGGUUCUGACACCUGGAGCUGCCUGCCCUUCUGCAGCAGCUGGUGCACCUGGCUCUGUGGUGUGGCUGGACCCUG
rnacentral:lncRNA from 1 species